AUUGAACGCUGGCGGCAUGCCUUACACAUGCAAGUCGAACGGUAACGCGGGGCAACCUGGCGACGAGUGGCGAACGGGUGAGUAAUGCAUCGGAACGUGCCCAGUAGUGGGGGAUAGCCCGGCGAAAGCCGGAUUAAUACCGCAUACGACCUACGGGUGAAAGCGAGGGACCGUAAGGCCUCGCGCUAUUGGAGCGGCCGAUGUCAGAUUAGGUUGUUGGUGGGGUAAAAGCCUACCAAGCCGACGAUCUGUAGCUGGUCUGAGAGGACGACCAGCCACACUGGGACUGAGACACGGCCCAGACUCCUACGGGAGGCAGCAGUGGGGAAUUUUGGACAAUGGGGGCAACCCUGAUCCAGCCAUGCCGCGUGCGGGAAGAAGGCCUUCGGGUUGUAAACCGCUUUUGUCAGGGAAGAAACGCUCUGGGCUAAUACCCCGGGGUAAUGACGGUACCUGAAGAAUAAGCACCGGCUAACUACGUGCCAGCCGCCGCUGUAAAAC
rnacentral:rRNA from 1 species